CAAAGCCAAGAACGUGCAAAACAAAAAGAAAAAAAGUGAAAUAGGAAAUCAUCGAGAGAAAAGAAAAAAGAAAAAAAGUAUAACUCGAAGAUUCAAAAGAAGCACGAAAAAGGGCACUCGGUGGAAAAAUAGAAAAAAGAGAAUUCCGAGCAAAAGAAACCAACAUAGUAGGUAACAUCGACUCUGAACCAAAAGCCACUUGUUUCCCGUUUUGUUUUAAUAUCCACACCCUAACCCAAGCCAAG
rnacentral:lncRNA from 1 species